rnacentral:rRNA from 1 species
UACGUAGGUGGCAAGCGUUGUCCGGAAUUAUUGGGCGUAAAGAGCUCGUAGGCGGCUCGUUGCGUCGGCUGUGAAAACCCGCAGCUCAACUGUGGGCUUGCAGCCGAUACGGGCGGGCUGGAGUUCGGUAGGGGAGACUGGAAUUCCUGGUGUAGCGGUGAAAUGCGCAGAUAUCAGGAGGAACACCGGUGGCGAAGGCGGGUCUCUGGGCCGAUACUGACGCUGAGGAGCGAAAGCGUGGGGAGCGAACAGG